rnacentral:rRNA from 1 species
GGUUAAGCGACUAAGCGUACACGGUGGAUGCCCUGGCAGUCAGAGGCGAUGAAGGGCGUGCUAAUCUGCGAUAAGCGCCGGUAAGGUGAUAUGAACCGUUAUAACCGGCGAUACCCGAAUGGGGAAACCCAGUGUGACUCGUCACACUAUCAUUAACUGAAUCCAUAGGUUAAUGAGGCGAACCGGGGGAACUGAAACAUCUAAGUACCCCGAGGAAAAGAAAUCAACCGAGAUUCCCCCAGUAGCGGCGAGCGAACGGGGAGGAGCCCAGAGCCUGAAUCAGCAUGUGUGUUAGUGGAAGCGUCUGGAAAGGCGCGCGAUACAGGGUGACAGCCCCGUACACAAAAGCGCAUGUGCUGUGAGCUCGAUGAGUAGGGCGGGACACGUGGUAUCCUGUCUGAAUAUGGGGGGACCAUCCUCCAAGGCUAAAUACUCCUGACUGACCGAUAGUGAACCAGUACCGUGAGGGAAAGGCGAAAAGAACCCCGGCGAGGGGAGUGAAAAAGAACCUGAAACCGUGUACGUACAAGCAGUGGGAGCACAGGUUUACCUGUGUGACUGCGUACCUUUUGUAUAAUGGGUCAGCGACUUAUAUUCUGUAGCAAGGUUAACCGAAUAGGGGAGCCGGAGGGAAACCGAGUCUUAAUUGGGCGUUAAGUUGCAGGGUAUAGACCCGAAACCCGGUGAUCUAGCCAUGGGCAGGUUGAAGGUUGGGUAACACUAACUGGAGGACCGAACCGACUAAUGUUGAAAAAUUAGCGGAUGACCUGUGGCUGGGGGUGAAAGGCCAAUCAAACCGGGAGAUAGCUGGUUCUCCCCGAAAGCUAUUUAGGUAGCGCCUCGUGAAUUCAUCUCCGGGGGUAGAGCACUGUUUCGGCUAGGGGGCCAUCCCGGCUUACCAACCCGAUGCAAACUGCGAAUACCGGAGAAUGUUAUCACGGGAGACACACGGCGGGUGCUAACGUCCGUCGUGAAGAGGGAAACAACCCAGACCGCCAGCUAAGGUCCCAAAGUCAUGGUUAAGUGGGAAACGAUGUGGGAAGGCCCAGACAGCCAGGAUGUUGGCUUAGAAGCAGCCAUCAUUUAAAGAAAGCGUAAUAGCUCACUGGUCGAGUCGGCCUGCGCGGAAGAUGUAACGGGGCUAAACCAUGCACCGAAGCUGCGGCAGCGACACUGUGUGUUGUUGGGUAGGGGAGCGUUCUGUAAGCCUGUGAAGGUGGCCUGUGAGGGUUGCUGGAGGUAUCAGAAGUGCGAAUGCUGACAUAAGUAACGAUAAAGCGGGUGAAAAGCCCGCUCGCCGGAAGACCAAGGGUUCCUGUCCAACGUUAAUCGGGGCAGGGUGAGUCGACCCCUAAGGCGAGGCCGAAAGGCGUAGUCGAUGGGAAACAGGUUAAUAUUCCUGUACUUGGUGUUACUGCGAAGGGGGGACGGAGAAGGCUAUGUUGGCCGGGCGACGGUUGUCCCGGUUUAAGCGUGUAGGCUGGUUUUCCAGGCAAAUCCGGAAAAUCAAGGCUGAGGCGUGAUGACGAGGCACUACGGUGCUGAAGCAACAAAUGCCCUGCUUCCAGGAAAAGCCUCUAAGCAUCAGGUAACAUCAAAUCGUACCCCAAACCGACACAGGUGGUCAGGUAGAGAAUACCAAGGCGCUUGAGAGAACUCGGGUGAAGGAACUAGGCAAAAUGGUGCCGUAACUUCGGGAGAAGGCACGCUGACACGUAGGUGAAGUGAUUUACUCAUGGAGCUGAAGUCAGUCGAAGAUACCAGCUGGCUGCAACUGUUUAUUAAAAACACAGCACUGUGCAAACACGAAAGUGGACGUAUACGGUGUGACGCCUGCCCGGUGCCGGAAGGUUAAUUGAUGGGGUCAGCGCAAGCGAAGCUCCUGAUCGAAGCCCCGGUAAACGGCGGCCGUAACUAUAACGGUCCUAAGGUAGCGAAAUUCCUUGUCGGGUAAGUUCCGACCUGCACGAAUGGCGUAAUGAUGGCCAGGCUGUCUCCACCCGAGACUCAGUGAAAUUGAACUCGCUGUGAAGAUGCAGUGUACCCGCGGCAAGACGGAAAGACCCCGUGAACCUUUACUAUAGCUUGACACUGAACAUUGAGCCUUGAUGUGUAGGAUAGGUGGGAGGCUUUGAAGCGUGGACGCCAGUCUGCGUGGAGCCGACCUUGAAAUACCACCCUUUAAUGUUUGAUGUUCUAACGUGGACCCGUAAUCCGGGUUGCGGACAGUGUCUGGUGGGUAGUUUGACUGGGGCGGUCUCCUCCUAAAGAGUAACGGAGGAGCACGAAGGUUGGCUAAUCCUGGUCGGACAUCAGGAGGUUAGUGCAAUGGCAUAAGCCAGCUUGACUGCGAGCGUGACGGCGCGAGCAGGUGCGAAAGCAGGUCAUAGUGAUCCGGUGGUUCUGAAUGGAAGGGCCAUCGCUCAACGGAUAAAAGGUACUCCGGGGAUAACAGGCUGAUACCGCCCAAGAGUUCAUAUCGACGGCGGUGUUUGGCACCUCGAUGUCGGCUCAUCACAUCCUGGGGCUGAAGUAGGUCCCAAGGGUAUGGCUGUUCGCCAUUUAAAGUGGUACGCGAGCUGGGUUUAGAACGUCGUGAGACAGUUCGGUCCCUAUCUGCCGUGGGCGCUGGAGAACUGAGGGGGGCUGCUCCUAGUACGAGAGGACCGGAGUGGACGCAUCACUGGUGUUCGGGUUGUCAUGCCAAUGGCACUGCCCGGUAGCUAAAUGCGGAAGAGAUAAGUGCUGAAAGCAUCUAAGCACGAAACUUGCCCCGAGAUGAGUUCUCCCUGAGACUUAGAGUCUCCUGAAGGAACGUUGAAGACGACGACGUUGAUAGGCCGGGUGUGUAAGCGCAGCGAUGCGUUGAGCUAACCGGUACUAAUGAACCGUGAGGCUUAACCUU